UAAAGUUAGAGCUUAAAUCUCAUAAUGAUACCAAUAAGCCAUUUGCAAUAGGCUGCAAGUAAGUGCUGGCAAGCCGCCUCCAUUGCUUAAUCUAUAUACAAUUUAAAACAGUAGAUAGUUUGACUCAGCUGUGCAACAUACUAUACUAAUCUGCCCUAACCACUGCAUUGUUUCACAAUGCCUGUCAUAGUGCUGCAUCUUGCAUGUAUUGUACAAUACUGCACAUGUAACACGGUAAUCUUAAGAUAAGACUUUAUUGCUCCAGAAGGAAAUUUGCCUUUGAGACACAAUGCAGCUGCUAUACAGUCCAAAUAAUUCAACAUUACUACACAUAUUUGUCAUAAAUACCAUGACAAAAAAGUACAAUAAAUAACUCAGGAUAAAAACUAAAAAUCAGUAAAUACUCCAAACUUCUGAGAUCCUCAAAAUAAAAUGUAAAACACUGAAGAAUCUCAUCUACUGCAGUAACCCAUGAUGUUAUCACUUAUUGCACAUUCCCACAUUGACCACACAGAACAGUACACAAACAUCAUUAUCAACAACAACAACAACAAUCAAACGUUGCUGCUGUCAGCCACUGGGGUGUUUGUUAAUGGCUUUAAUGGACUGAGGGAUGAAGGAGUGUUCGUAUCUGUUUAGAGUGCACUGAAGAACUCUGUAACGCCUGGCUGAGGGGAGGAGCUGGUAAUCACUGUGAGGGAUAUGAGUCGGGUCAGAAAUAAUUUUUCUGGCCUGAGGGAUGAUGUUUUCCAGAUCUGGGUGUUGUUUGACUCCCAUAAUCUUCAUGGACCUUUGUAUGAGGCGGCUGAUCUUUGCCUUUAACUGCACUGACAGGUUGCCAAACUAGCUGAAAUUUCCCUAUUACUCUCUAUUAUUUUGACUCUCACUGAGCACAUGAAGCCUGCACAGAAAGUAUGGCCUUUGUUGGAUAUGUGUGCACACCUGUUCUACAUGGACUGUCCAGGUUAGAGUGUUAUCUAUGUGAACCCCCCAAGUACUUACAGCUUGCAAUUUUCUCUGUGGGGCACAAACUCACUGAAAAUGAUUCAUUUUUGUAAGGUCUCCAUAAUACACCAUAACAAUGUGAACAUAUUACUUAUAUGGUUCUGCCAUCUGUCAUUUUAAACGAAUAAAUGAAUGAAUAAAUAAACCCAUAAUUUUCAUGAAUGCAACUUGUUUUUCCAUAACUUCCGUAAGUUUGACUUAUCACAGCCCAAAUUAUCAGUUGUCACAGAACCGAAUCAUUUUGCAAUAAAAACAUUUUUCCUGUAUCUGUAAUGUUCUGAAGACCUUGUUUGUUUUGCAGAGGCAGUAUGUGUUCUCUUUUGCAUCCUGCACAAGGCCUGUCAAAUGUUUUUUUGCCCUAAUGGUUAGAACACCUCUGCAGCUCCCCUAAAUAUCAGCCCAGAUAGGAGGGAUUUCCUAAGUUAAGAAAGGGAGAUGUCAACAAGAAGGAAAGAGUCCAGAUCAAAAAACCAGUGGAAACACUCAAUGUGAAGAAUUUCAUCCCAAAAAGUUUAACUGUUUAACUGAUAUAAAAAGAUCAUUUCCCCUCUGUUCUGAGUGAAGUAGUCCAGCUUGACAGUGGCUGAGUUUAUGCACCGUGGCGGCAUGACAAAUUCCUCCAUGUUUUGUCGGUUAGCGUGGGGCCUUCAGAACGAUGACCCCAGACUCAACUCUGUGCGCAACGCUGGGCCCAGGGAACCCACUCAGCCCCAAUAAUGAGAUCAUUACCAACAGUUAAUUAAAAGCGAUGCGUCUUCUAAAGCUUUGCCCCAUAUCGCAUUGUGUCCAAACAAUUGCGUCCCUUGUGGACGUCCGAGGAUGAAAGGGUGAGCCAAAUGGAGGAGAACGCCCAUUGUCCUUCUCCUGAGAAACUGUCUUCCCUCGCUUUUUGCCUUUCAAUGAAUUCUUUGUGUGCGCGCCGGGGUCCGGGGCGGUCCUCUCGGGUUCAGAGUGACAGAGCUGUGCCGAGCCGAGCUGUACCCGGCCCCAAUGUCAGCGGGCUGGAGCCUGGGGAUGGACAGAGGCCUCUUGAGUGCGGACACAGUGAGAGAGAGCACAGGGGCAGCCACAAACUGUCAGGGGAAGAUUAAUCCAGACCAGCGAUUUUCUGGACAGACUCAGUGUUUAUUGUCGGAGGCUCUCAGUCCUUAUCUGCUGUUUGCUCGCUGCUGCUCACCAAGAGAACCUUGGAAGAGGAACGAAGCUUCCAGACAAGUAUGUGAAGGAUAUCUCCUGGUCCGGUGCCACCUACCCUAUCUCUGAAACCUUGUCUGUAUGACCUUGAGAGGACCCUUAAAAGACACCAUCUAUGCUAAGAGAAUGCGGGAGAGAGACCUUCAUUUUCAGGCGAUAAGCUCCAGAAAAUGGAUGAAAUAAUAAAGUUGCUGUGAUGAAACAGUGCUUUAUUAUUGGACAAAUCCUGUAGUUGAAGUGAUUCUUGAUCAAAGACUGUACUGUGCAAGUCUGUUUGAAGUGGUCCAGGGUUUGAGGCUUUAUUUGUACAAGCCUUAGAUUAGGGGUCGGGGUAUGUUACAACUCAUAUCACACAAACAUAACCUCCUUUCUGUCUUGUCACUCAUUGCACAUAAGGCCAAUGUCAAGAUAUUGGUGCUGUGGAGGGGGAAUUGAUAUGAUAAAGGCACCAAACUCUACAUAAACAUGUGAGUUUACACAGAGAAAAACCUGACAUAGUCUAAAAAUGUCAUGCUAGGCAGGAGGGUGCAGAACAGUGGACAUGAAGGAUCCACACUGUUUGAUUUGUGGCCUGGUGACAGGCACAAACAACACUUUAGGGGUGUUUUAGUGUCCGAGAAACUUCACACAACCUGUUCCAGUGGCCUGAUACUUGAUGGGGAGCAAUGUGUGGAAUGGUGGAGUUUCC